CAGUCGCCGCGGUAAUACGUAGGGUGCGAGCGUUAAUCGGAAUUACUGGGCGUAAAGCGUGCGCAGGCGGUUGUACAAGACAGAUGUGAAAUCCCCGGGCUUAACCUGGGAAUGGCAUUUGUGACUGUACGGCUAGAGCGUGUCAGAGGGGGGUAGAAUUCCACGUGUAGCAGUGAAAUGCGUAGAUAUGUGGAGGAAUACCGAUGGCGAAGGCAGCCCCCUGGGAUAACACUGACGCUCAUGCACGAAAGCGUGGGGAGCAAACAGGAUUAGAUACCCGCGUAGUCCCUGUCUCUUAUAC
rnacentral:rRNA from 1 species